rnacentral:rRNA from 1 species
GACAGAGGGUGCAAACGUUGUUCGGAAUUACUGGGCGUAAAGCGCGUGUAGGCGGCAAGCCAAGUCGGGUGUGAAAGCCCUGGGCUCAACCCAGGAAGUGCAUUCGAUACUGGCAAGCUAGAGUCCCGGAGAGGAUGGUGGAACUCUCGGUGUAGAGGUGAAAUUCGUAGAUAUCGAGAAGAACACCGGUGGCGAAGGCGGCCAUCUGGACGGUGACUGACGCUGAGACGUGAAAGCGUGGGGAGCAAACAGG